rnacentral:rRNA from 1 species
CAGUCGCCGCGGUAAAACGUAGGGUGCGAGCGUUAAUCGGAAUUACUGGGCGUAAAGCGUGCGCAGGCGGUUCGUUAAGACAGAUGUGAAAUCCCCGGGCUUAACCUGGGAACUGCAUUUGUGACUGGCGAGCUAGAGUAUGGCAGAGGGGGGUAGAAUUCCACGUGUAGCAGUGAAAUGCGUAGAGAUGUGGAGGAAUACCGAUGGCGAAGGCAGCCCCCUGGGCCAAUACUGACGCUCAUGCACGAAAGCGUGGGGAGCAAACAGGAUUAGAUACCCGCGUAGUCCCUGUCUCUUAUAC